CAAGAAAUAGCAUAUAGUGU
rnacentral:tRNA from 1 species